rnacentral:rRNA from 1 species
CGCAGCCCAAGUGGUGCUCGUUAUUAUUGGGCCUAAAACGUCCGUAGCCGGCCUUGUAAAUCCAUGUGGAAAUCGGAGGGCCUAACCCUCCGAAGGGCGUGGACACUGCAAGGCUUGGGACUGGGUGAGUUCGGAGGUACUUCCGGGGUAGGGGUGAAAUCCUGUAAUCCUGGGAGGACCACCAGUGGCGAAGGCGUCCGAAUAGAACGGAUCCGACGGUCAGGGACGAAGCCCUGGGGCGCAAACGG